CCUACGGGAGGCAGCAGUGAGGAAUAUUGGUCAAUGGCCGGGAGGCUGAACCAGCCAAGUCGCGUGAGGGAAGACGGCCCUACGGGUUGUAAACCUCUUUUGUCAGGGAGCAAGGUGCAAGUCGGGACCUACUAUGAGAGUACCUGAAGAAAAAGCAUCGGCUAACUCCGUGCCAGCAGCCGCGGUAAUACGGAGGAUGCGAGCGUUAUCCGGAUGUAUUGGGUUAAAAGGGUGAGCAGGCGGAGGCACAAUGCAGCGGUAAAAUCGCGGGGCUCAACCCCGCUCCGCCGUUGAAACUGUGGCCCUUGAGUGCGCGAAGGGUAGGCGGAAUGCGUGGUGUAGCGGUGAAAUGCAUAGAUAUCACGCAGAACUCCGAUCGCGAAGGCAGCCUACCGGCGCGCAACUGACGCUCAUGCACGAAAGCGUGGGUAUCGAACAGGAUUAGAUACCCUAGUAGUC
rnacentral:rRNA from 1 species